GGGUUGUGAGGUUAAGCGACUAAGCGUACACGGUGGAUGCCCUGGCAGUCAGAGGCGAUGAAGGACGUGCUAAUCUGCGAUAAGCGUCGGUGAGGUGAUAUGAACCGUUAUAACCGGCGAUUUCCGAAUGGGGAAACCCAGUGUGUUUCGACACACUAUCAUUAACUGAAUCCAUAGGUUAAUGAGGCGAACCGGGGGAACUGAAACAUCUAAGUACCCCGAGGAAAAGAAAUCAACCGAGAUUCCCCCAGUAGCGGCGAGCGAACGGGGAGGAGCCCAGAGCCUGAAUCAGUGUGUGUGUUAGUGGAAGCGUCUGGAAAGGCGCGCGAUACAGGGUGACAGCCCCGUACACAAA
rnacentral:rRNA from 1 species